AAUGAUCCUACUAAAGUCUAGCUUGAACCUGUGAGUUCCAGGUCGCACAACCGAGGGGAAUUAAACCUGCAGAUGGAAUUAAGGCUACUAAUGAUUGAACCUUACAAGAAAGAGAGAUUAUCCAGGAGGGCCCAAGAGCCUUCAUCCAGCAGCUGAUGGACACAGAAGCAGAUAUCCACAGCUAAACACUGAGUUGAACUGGAAUCCAGUUGCAUCAAUGGAGGAGUGAUGAGCAAAGGGGUCAAGACCAGGCUGGAGAAACCCACAGAUACAGCUGACCUGAACAAGGGGGAGCUCAUGGACUUCAGACUGAUAGCUGGAAAACCAGGAUAGGACUGAUCCAGACCCCCUGAAGGAGGAUGUCAGUGAGGAGGCCUUGGAAAUCUAUGGGACCUCUGGUAGUAGUCAGUACUUAUCCCUAGCAUACAAAUGGACUUUGGGAGCCCACUCCACAUAGAGGGAUACUCUCUCAGCCUUGACACGCAGGUGAAGGCCCUGCUCCAAAUGAUAUGACAGACUCUGAAGAUCCC
rnacentral:lncRNA from 1 species